UUGCCUCAGAGUCAAAGGGCUACAAAUAUAAGCUUGUUUUCUGUAUUCCAUUAUUGUGAAUAACUCACAACUCUAUUGCCAUGUGUAUGAUUGACUUGCAAUUAUGGGUUGUGUUUUACAGCAGCUCUGAAUGGUAUUCUCCCCUGGUUGUUCCUUAAGCCAAGCCUGGAACCCCUGGGUCACAUGAGAAAGGGGGGAUUUUUAUAGACUCCACCCUAUCCUUGUUGCUUUUCCCCCUCCAAGCCUUGAUAUUGGAUCUGUAAUUAGUGAUGUAAUAAUAAUACCUUCCAUUUGCUAUAUUAUAACUUUUCAAACAUGCUUUAGCAUGCUCUCCCUCCUGGGAGCACGCCCACACCUUCCCCGUCCUCCCUCCUUCCCCUGAGGCGCCUUACCUCUACCUUUCUCUCUCCUAAGCUCCAGGGCUCUUCUUUUGCCUCUAUCACUUGUUUCCUGAGCCCAUUUCUCCUACUGCUCACAUCUUCUUCCUCUGUGACUUUCUAAAUAAACUUUUUCUGAUAAACAACAACAACAAACACCCCAAAAUGCUUUACAUGUUCUGUGAUUGACUCUCCAAAAAUGCUUUUGGUACAGGGAAUGCAGAUCUUAUGGCCUUAUUUUAUAAGGAAACAGACAAAGCAAGGCUAAAUGACUUGCCGAAGUUCUUACAGCAAGUCUAAGAUGGAUCUGGAACUGAGACCAGAUUUCCUGAUUUCAAGGUGUGUGGUUUUCCUCCGGCCACUGCAUUUUAUAACAAACGCAAGACAAUUGCUUUUACAUACAGGGUCGGGCAAAGUAGGUUUGCAGUUGUGAGUACAUGAGUUUAUUCUUGUAUUAUUAUUUAUUAAUUACUGUAUUAUUUUUCCAUAUGAACAACUGUAAACCUAUGUUUGCCCCACCCUAUACAAGAUUUCAUUUGAUUCCAUGAUGACCUUACAAGCUGGGUGAGCAGGUAUUAUUAUUUAUAUCUUCCUGAUCAGGAAGUAGAAGCCCAGAGAAAAUGAGUUACCAAGAUAAUAUGGUGAUAAACAAAAGAGGUGGGAUUUGACUCCAAGACUCCAAGCCCACUCUCUUGGUGACAUUUUGCUAGCUGAUUAAUGACAACACCAGUCAUUUAGUUGCCUUGACCAAAAACUUAGACUCAUCCUUGACUCCCUUUUUUUUUCUUACCCCAUGUCUAAGCCAUCAGCAAAUCUUAUUCCAAAUCAAGCAUUUCUCACUACCUCUACUGCUGUUAUCCUGGUCUAAGCAUUUGUCUUUCUCACCUGGAUUUCUGCAGCGAUUCUGUAAGGCUAGUCUCCAAAGAUGGUCUCCAAUGAACCGGGCCUCCUGUAGUCAUGUGGUUCUACAGUGUUGAAUUUCAGCUGCUCUGUGAGUAGUUUAAUUAGUAGAAGGUGGAUGAUGUGAUUCUGUGCAUUUCAUGAAGGCUUUUGUACUUCUGAGAGCCCUGAGCCACCUCUAAGAAAUCCAGUUACUCUUCUGGAGAGACUAAGUGAAGAGACCACUUGGAGAGGCCAUGUGAAGAGGGAGCGGCCCAGAGACUGCAUGGAGUGAGAGAGGCCCAGCAGUCAGUGCCCCAGCUCAACCCAGCCUCUUCACUGUCCCACGAAGGUGCUAGAUGAGAAAACUGAGACACCAGAUGGUAUAUAACUUCCCGAAGGUUCUGCCGCUAGUAAUUGACAGAAGCAGGAUUGAACCAAGGCAGUUGGGAUCCAGAAUCUACUGUUAUACUCAUCUCAUUAUAGAUGUGUAUGUGAUAUAUGUAUAAAUCAUGUAUGUGCUUGUUUAUUGUCUAUCUAUCCCGUUAGGUGUAAGCUCCACAAGGACAGGACAUUGUUUUGUUUACUGUUCCCCACGCUUAGGACAAUGUCUGGUACAAUUAGAUUUUCAAUAAAAAUGUAUUGAAUGAA